rnacentral:rRNA from 1 species
UACGUAGGGGGCAAGCGUUGUCCGGAUUUAUUGGGCGUAAAGAGCGUGUAGGCGGCCAGACAGGUCUGCUGUGAAAACUCGAGGCUCAACCUCGAGACGCCGGUGGAGACCGUUUGGCUAGAGUCCGGAAGAGGAGAGUGGAAUUCCUGGUGUAGCGGUGAAAUGCGCAGAUAUCAGGAAGAACACCCGUGGCUAAGGCGGCUCUCUAGUACGGUACUGACGCUGAGACGCGAAAGCGUGGGGAGCGAACAGG